UCGACCUCAGAUCAGACGAGAUCACCCGCUAAAUUAAGCAUAUCAAUAAGCG
rnacentral:rRNA from 1 species